CGUCGAGCUACUACGGUAGUGAAGUCAUUGAUGCCAUGCUUCCAGGAAAAGCCUCUAAGCUUCAGAUUGUAAGGAAUCGUACCCCAAACCGACACAGGUGGUCGGGUAGAGAAUACCAAGGCGCUUGAGAGAACUCGGGUGAAGGAACUAGGCAAAAUGGUACCGUAACUUCGGGAGAAGGUACGCUCUUGAUGGUGAAGUCCCUUGCGGAUGGAGCUGACGAGAGUCGCAGAUACCAGGUGGCUGCAACUGUUUAUUAAAAACACAGCACUGUGCAAAAUCGUAAGAUGACGUAUACGGUGUGACGCCUGCCCGGUGCCGGAAGGUUAAUUGAUGGGGUUAGCGUAAGCGAAGCUCUUGAUCGAAGCCCCGGUAAACGGCGGCCGUAACUAUAACGGUCCUAAGGUAGCGAAAUUCCUUGUCGGGUAAGUUCCGACCUGCACGAAUGGCGUAAUGAUGGCCACGCUGUCUCCACCCGAGACUCAGUGAAAUUGAAAUCGCUGUGAAGAUGCAGUGUACCCGCGGCUAGACGGAAAGACCCCGUGAACCUUUACUACAGCUUGGCACUGAACAUUGAACCUACAUGUGUAGGAUAGGUGGGAGGCUUUGAAGACGUGACGCCAGUUGCGUUGGAGCCGUCCUUGAAAUACCACCCUUGUAUGUUUGAUGUUCUAACGUUGGCCCCUAAUCGGGGUUGCGGACAGUGCCUGGUGGGUAGUUUGACUGGGGCGGUCUCCUCCCAAAGAGUAACGGAGGAGCACGAAGGUGGGCUAAUCACGGUUGGACAUCGUGAGGUUAGUGCAAUGGCAUAAGCCCGCUUAACUGCGAGAAUGACGGUUCGAGCAGGUGCGAAAGCAGGUCAUAGUGAUCCGGUGGUUCUGAAUGGAAGGGCCAUCGCUCAACGGAUAAAAGGUACUCCGGGGAUAACAGGCUGAUACCGCCCAAGAGUUCAUAUCGACGGCGGUGUUUGGCACCUCGAUGUCGGCUCAUCACAUCCUGGGGCUGAAGUCGGUCCCAAGGGUAUGGCUGUUCGCCAUUUAAAGUGGUACGCGAGCUGGGUUUAGAACGUCGUGAGACAGUUCGGUCCCUAUCUGCCGUGGGCGUUGGAAGAUUGAAGGGGGCUGCUCCUAGUACGAGAGGACCGGAGUGGACGAACCUCUGGUGUUCGGGUUGUGUCGCCAGACGCAUUGCCCGGUAGCUAAGUUCGGAAUCGAUAACCGCUGAAAGCAUCUAAGCGGGAAGCGAGCCCUGAGAUGAGUCUUCC
rnacentral:rRNA from 1 species